rnacentral:rRNA from 1 species
CCUACGGGUGGCAGCAGUCGAGAAUCAUUCACAAUGGGGGAAACCCUGAUGGUGCGACGCCGCGUGGGGGAAUGAAGGUCUUCGGAUUGUAAACCCCUGUCAUGUGGGAGCAAAUUAAAAAGAUAGUACCACAAGAGGAAGAGACGGCUAACUCUGUGCCAGCAGCCGCGGUAAUACAGAGGUCUCAAGCGUUGUUCGGAAUCACUGGGCGUAAAGCGUGCGUAGGCUGUUUCGUAAGUCGUGUGUGAAAGGCGCGGGCUCAACCCGCGGACGGCACAUGAUACUGAGCGACUAGAGUAAGGGAGGGGGAACCGGAAGUCUCGGUGUAGCAGUGAAAUGCGUAGAUAUCGAGAGGAACACUCGUGGCGAAGGCGGGUUCCUGGACAUUAACUGACGCUGAGGCACGAAGGCCAGGGGAGCGAAAGGGAUUAGAUACCCGUGUAGUC